GACGAACGCUGGCGGCGUGCUUAACACAUGCAAGUCGAACGGAAAGGCCCUGCUUUUGUGGGGUGCUCGAGUGGCGAACGGGUGAGUAACACGUGAGUAACCUGCCCUUGACUUUGGGAUAACUUCAGGAAACUGGGGCUAAUACCGGAUAGGAGCUCCUGCUGCAUGGUGGGGGUUGGAAAGUUUCGGCGGUUGGGGAUGGACUCGCGGCUUAUCAGCUUGUUGGUGGGGUAGUGGCUUACCAAGGCUUUGACGGGUAGCCGGCCUGAGAGGGUGACCGGCCACCUUGGGCCUGAGAUACGGCCCAGACUCCUACGGGAGGCAGAAGUGGGGAAUAUUGCACAAUGGGCGGAAGCCUGAUGCAGCAACGCCGCGUGCGGGAUGACGGCCUUCGGGUUGUAAACCGCUUUCGCCUGUGACGAAGCGUGAGUGACGGUAAUGGGUAAAGAAGCACCGGCUAACUACGUG
rnacentral:rRNA from 1 species